AUUUUGAUUUCCAGAGUCUAAACCAGCUGCUUCGAAGAGAUCUUUCAAAUGAAUGACUAGGCUGUGAAUUUCUAAGGAUGAAGCUCAUUUGAGAAAUCUUUCCUCUGCCUUUGGGGAGAAAUAAUUUGCCUCCUUCCACAAGACUGUUGAUGAGAACAGAAGAAGGAACAGAUGGUGGCACCAUCCUGUCUCAGCACCAAACACUGCCCUGGAGUUGUACGUGGUGCAAAAAGCAUCCCCGUGUGGAGAAGCAGAUAGCGCUCCGGCAAAGUAUCAGGAUGGUGGAUUUUAUGGUGGAUUUCUACAGCUGAGGGACAACUGCCUGUGAGUUUCCAGGUCAUGUAACCUUGCUCACUGUUGUGGAAAGCCUGAGGAGCUCCACGAGGGGUUUAAAAGAGAGAUCUUCUUCUCCUGUUCAGGUUACUUUAAUCUAUAAUAUCAGCAAUAAUCACUGUGGUAUUGUUGCCUAGGCAUUCUUGAAGAGUCAGAAGUGGACUGUAAUUGAAGAGUUCAUUACCAAGAUCAGUUGGCUCCUUGAUUACAGUGGCAAGGUGAAAUAUAUAUCCUCACCAAAAAGCAACUGCUAAACCUUUAGAGAAGUCACCCACUUUUCACUCUUUUUCAUUAGGACCCCGACAAGCUUGUCAGCAAAAUUAAAGGUUCACUUCAGACGGUCUCCAUCCUGUGUUGGAAAGCAGAAAGCAGCAAGUGGACCUGGGCUGCAUAAGCACCUGCCAGGCCCUAAACAGUGGUAAAACACUGGCUGCCAUGAACUUCUUGUUAAAAAAAAGAAAGAAGAGAAGGCUGUGGUUUGGAGGCUGCUGGAGCUGCCUGUAGCAGACUGUGAGCUGCUGAUGGCGUGGCUGCUGAAAUCACUACAAGGAUAAUAGGGCACACAUGCAUUUGUGGAUAAUUCUGGUUGCUAAUUGCUCAUGAAAUUUCAGGUUGAAAGUGAAGAAGGAAAUCUUCCAGGUGGCUGCAUCUUGAAAGACGGGUGCUGCAGUGAUUGCCUCCUCUCUGAACAUGCCACACUGCCGGAAGGGACUGGCCAGGAUCCAGAGAUGAAAUAAGUGCUUUUUAAAUGCUGCUCCUACCACACCGAGCUGGGUUUGUCCCGGCGUGUGAUGCUCCUGUGUCCCAUGUGCUGUCCCUGGUGCCCCAUUGGUCCUUCUGCCGGGGCGACUCAGCCUGGCGUCUUCACUGCGCAAACUUCAAGAAGGUUAAGUUUUAAAAUAACUGUUCCUGAGGCUGUAAGUAGAAAGAAGAAAAAUAAAGCGCUGGAAAUGACUUGUAAUAAUCUCAAUGAAAAUGCUGGAUGCUUUUUCUUUUUUCUCAUCUCACCCUAAAUGUUUUCUAACAUUAAUACCAGUGACCUCUCCCUUCUCCUGCUUUUCUUUAAUGGGAUGUGGCUUGCCUAUUAUAAGGCUAUGCAUCGCAGCUGGAAACAGUUGCUUUAUUUAAAAAAAAAAAAGAAAAAAGGGCUCUGAUUACUCAGGUGUCGAUACAAAAAAAUGAGAUGUUGUGCCAGAUGGCUGCAUUUGUGAAGCAGAGUGUAGUCAGAAGGAAAGUGGAAGGAGACAAGGCAACUGUACAUCAGAAGUGUGAAAACAUGAUCAAAAUACCUUCAGCCUUGUUUCACCAACACUGGAUUAGGAGGCAACUGUGGUGAGAUGCAAGCAAAGAAAAGCAUGAGGGGAUACUGUUUGGAAAACAAAAACAUCUUUCAGUAAUGAACUGCUUGACUUCCUCAGCAAAAGCUUAGAAGUUUGAAAAAAUCAAGAGACUUUGUUAUUAAAUGGAAGGACUGAGAACCAGUAAGCCUCAGAGCACGGCAUCUAGUGUCACUGCAAAAUGCCACGUGCGAUAGAGUAAAAUAUUGAUAGCAGGCUGUGUCACGGGCUUAGUUAGCAUUAUAGCAGGAUAUGCUGCUGCCAAUCAUCGGUAAGUAACCGCUCUCUUGGGUGACACAGACAGUCAGCAGCUCCGUGCCAGGGCUGCAGGUGUGCAGGAGGCGUUGUCUAGUGGAGCAGAGGAGAGGAGGUGCCUCCUGCACCAGGCGUUGGGGCGCCGUUUGCUCAGAGCUGGGCCCGGGCACCCCCGGCAGCCCCUCCGGCUGGCACCUGCAUUGGCGUCUGCCCUCGGAGGUAAAGGGGUGGGCUCGUAAUGACAGCACUGGCUGUUCUGUACCUCACACUGCUUGGACGCGUUGCUCAGCUCGUUGAGAAGCUUUAGUUCAACUUUUGAUGCCAGGGUGUGAAGUACUUACUGAGACUGUAAGAGCUGAGAACUUGGCGGGUGCUUCUUUACCCUUUUAUAUACUGAAACGGAUCCUGGGUACUUGCAGCUUUCCUUCCAUGCCACAGCUUUUGGAAUAAUUUCUUUGAUCUGAGAUCAGAAAUCCAAAUUUAUUUUUUUUUCCAUGCUUAAGCUGGCUCUGCUGAAGCUGCUCCACACUCUUUCCUCCUCUGUGGUCUUUUAGGGGAAAAGGAGAACAUGAGCACAAAAGAGGUUAAUCUGAAAGCUUGGCCUCUGGUUCCCGUGGGUCUAUCUUGGUUUACAAACUUUGUAGCGUUUGCAUUUCAUCACGAGAGUCUGAAAUCUUAGUUUUCUUAGAUUGCAGUUUGAUUAGAACAUCAAAAGGAAAAUCUCUGUUAAUUUUAGCCGAAACCAUUCCCAGAAACACAGCUUUCUCAUCCUCAACCCCCAAAAUGACUUCAACUUCUUGCAGGUACCUUCUGGAAAUGAACUUCAUCCAAAUGUAUUAA